rnacentral:rRNA from 1 species
UACGGAGGGUGCGAGCGUUGUCCGGAAUCACUGGGCGUAAAGGGCGCGUAGGCGGCCUGAUAAGUAGGGGGUGAAAUCUUGCGGCUUAACCGCAAGGCUGCCUUCUAAACUGUCAGGCUAGAGCACAGUAGAGGCAGGUGGAAUUCCUGGUGUAGCGGUGGAAUGCGCAGAUAUCAGGAGGAACACCGGUGGCGAAGGCGGCUUGCUGGGCCAGUUCUGACGCUGAGGUGCGAAAGCAUGGGGAGCGAACAGG